AGUUGCGUGAUAAGCACAAAGCGAACUAUUCUUUCGCCUUUUACUAAAGAAUACCGUGUGCUUUCCACAUAGAGCAACAUACUCUAAUUUUUUAAAGGGAUUUUCUUUUACAAGAAAU